rnacentral:tRNA from 1 species
GCCUGGGUAGCUCAGUAGGUUAAGCAUCUGACUCUUGGUUUCAGCUCAGGUCAUGGUCUCAUGGCUGUGGGAUCAAGCCCUGCUUCAGGCU